rnacentral:lncRNA from 1 species
AUGAGGCAGGAGAACUCAGCAUGAUUGAGUGAUUGAAUGAAGGCCAGUGUAUCUGAAGCUUAUUGAGUAGGAGGGGUAGUCUUGAAAAGAAGAAUGGGACGUGAACAGCUGUUUGGGAGAUAUUUAAGGAAAUCAACAAGAGAUGAACAAAUGGAUUGCCAAGUAGCAGUGUGGUCCCAUUGAAAUUAGCACAAAUUAAUGCUGAUAAAAGGCAAUACAGUUCUGGGACUUCCUCCAGCAACCUUCUAACAUUCUGCUUGUGUUCAGUUCUUGCUUCUGUUGGGUAGAUUCAAGAAACCCAGCUUAAUCUUUUGUGAUGGUCCAACUGGUUUCCUCAACUCUGCCCUUCUCUAGCCCUGGGUGUGAAGGCUACUUAACCUCCCAAGUAGGCUGACCUUGACCUGUAGUCUGUGAUCCUCUGCAUUACACAGGGGAGUUGUGUGAAAGUUGUCCUACUUUUCCUGUAAAUGGAGUUGGCACAUGUUCUCUCUCCAAUCUCCCUCCCAGUGGAGGAUGAAAUGGCCUUUCAAUAUGUGUGCACUUGCUGCAACCACUUCCAUUCAACUGUGCUUCCUCUUGGGAAACUCAUGCCCCAUCUCAGCUUCCAUUUAAGCAAUGGUUCUGUCUUCCUAAUGCUGCUGCCCUUUAAUGCAGUUCCUUUGAAAUGGUGACUCCCAACCAUAAAAUUAUUUUGUUGCUAUUUUAUAACUGUAAUUUUGCUACUGUUAUGAUUAUAAGGUAAAAAUCUGAUAUGCUGGAUAUCUGAUAUGUGACCCCCAAAAGUAUCAUAACUUAAAGGUUGAGAACCACUGAUUUAGAAAAAGAUCCAUAGUCCAACUUUCUUAACCAUUUCCCCUUCUUAUAUAAAAAACACACAAGAGAAGUUCUUAUUCUGGAAGUCACCAACUGCAGAAUAGCUAGGAUCUGUAUAGGACACCUUUAAUUCUAACAGUGCAGAGACUGGCGGUGUUUCCUUGGAGUCACCUAAUCCAUUUCUGUUACAAUUAAAACUAAUUCCCCAUGGUUUAGACCUUGGUAGAAAACAGACGAUACUAGCCAUGAUUUCCCCACAAAGGCAAUGUUCCUAUCACAUACACACAAACACAAAUUAAAUUAGUCCUAUAUACUUAAAAGAAUUUCAAGGGUAGCUCCUGUUGUUUACACCAAAAGCCUGAAAACAGACGAUACUAGCCAUAAUUUCCCCACAAAGGCAAUGUUCCUAUCACACACACACAAACACAAAUUAAAUUAGUUCUAUAUACUUAAAAGAAUUUCAAGGGUAGCUCCUGUUGUUUUCACUAAAAGCCUGAAGGACAGCAAUACCUUGAAACUUUCUGGCACUUACCUUUUUUUUUUUCUUUUUUUUCUGAAGCACUUUUCUUCUUUUCUUUUUUGCACACACAUUAUCUCAUUUUGUCCACUUACUGACUCGAAUUAAGGAGGAUGGAUAUAAUCUACUCUUGGGAGAAAAAUAAAACUUGGGUUUGAUUUACUCCUGUAUAGGUUUGAGAUCCUGCCGGAGCAUUUUGAGACCUCAACUACAUGGCUUCGACUGCUGAGCUGAUUUGAUCUUUAUUCACUGUUUGACCUUUUAUCAAAGGUCCCCAAAGAUAAUAAUAGCCACCACCCAUUGUUGAGCAUUUAAUAAAUUCAAACACUGUGCUUCCUGCCAGAUUUCUGUGUACUUUAUCUUUCAACUCUUGAAGGAGGUGGUUUCAUUACUGAGCUGGCUUUUCAGAUGAGUUUGCCUACUCCUCACAAACUCCAAUGCCAGAGACUUCAGCCUCUGUGCUCCUGUGAUUGUUUGUACAUGGU